AAUUGCUCCACAGUCUAAUCCAAUAAAAUUCAGGCAUUGGUAGUUUUUGAGGCCAGUCUUGGAGGUUUCCUCUAACCUCAAGAGGGCUCUUCUUAGUUGUCUCCUUCCCUGGUUCUCUCUGGUAAACUAGCUAGCUUAUGGUUUAGCUUGUUGCUUUUUAUUACAGGAAACUAUUGUUUUUUUUAGAGCAACCCGAGGCUUGACCAUCACCCACACUCUGUUUCAAAUAAAGGUUUUUGUGGAAGGUAUACUGCUCCCCUCAUUCCCCAACUGCCCUGCUUCAUUGCCACAUAACUAUUCAAUCUUCAGAUUUUACCUAUGUAUCCCUUUCUUCAGAAAGUCUUUCCUAAGCCAAUUAGUUUGGGUAUGAUGUCUUCCCUGGUACACUCUCUGAACCCUGAACUUCUAACUUCACAUUUAGUAUACUGUAUUGUAUUUGCCUACUUACUUGUGUCUCCCCCACAGGAUUGUGACUCCAGAUUAUGAACUGUGUCUAUCAUGUUUAUCAUUGUUUCUUCAGUACCUAUAGGUCAUUGGUAUUACCAGAUUCUGCAGGCUAAUUAAAUCUAUAGCCCAAAGAGUUAGAGACACCAAGAUUACAUAAAAACAUAGAAGUUCUAUGUGCUUAACUCAACAGACAUCAAUGUCUCUGUAUGUAUACACACACAGACACACAGACACAUAUAUUAAGUCAUAUAUACAUACAUAUAUAAAGUCAAUGUAAUGAAAUUUUUCUGUAUAUUUAUAACAUAAACGUAAAUGGAAAGUAUAGAUUUCUUUUACCUUUUAAGUUUUUAAAAUUUAGAAGGUAACCGAUACUUGGAACACUAGUCAUCAAACAAAACAUGACUAUUAGCCUGAUAAAUCAGAACAGCACUUUUGGAAAUAAUUUGGCAAUAUAUUUUAAGAAUUAGAAAUAUGGUUCAUACAGGCCAGGCACGGUG
rnacentral:lncRNA from 1 species